AGACCCGAAACCCGGUGAUCUAGCCAUGGGCAGGUUGAAGGUUGGGUAACACUAACUGGAGGACCGAACCGACUAAUGUUGAAAAAUUAGCGGAUGACCUGUGGCUGGGGGUGAAAGGCCAAUCAAACCGGGAGAUAGCUGGUUCUCCCCGAAAGCUAUUUAGGUAGCGCCUCGUGAAUUCAUCUCCGGGGGUAGAGCACUGUUUCGGCCAGGGGGCCAUCCCGGCUUACCAAUCCGAUGCAAACUGCGAAUACCGGAGAAUGUUAUCACGGGAGACACACGGCGGGUGCUAACGUCCGUCGUGAAGAGGGAAACAACCCAGACCGCCAGCUAAGGUCCCAAAGUCAUGGUUAAGUGGGAAACGAUGUGGGAAGGCCCAGACAGCCAGGAUGUUGGCUUAGAAGCAGCCAUCAUUUAAAGAAAGCGUAAUAGCUCACUGGUCGAGUCGGCCUGCGCGGAAGAUGUAACGGGGCUAAACCAUGCACCGAAGCUGCGGCAGCGAACGUAUCACCCAAGACAACUUUACACAGUUGACGACUGACGGAGCGAAGCGACGUCAAAGCGU
rnacentral:rRNA from 1 species